CUUCAACGACCCCAGGUACAACGGCGUCUCACGAUCCUGACCGUAGGUCGCCAACAACGCCUGCGCCUC
rfam:Saccharothrix sp. ALI-22-I Contig65, whole genome shotgun sequence.